UUGAAAGGGAAACGAUUGAAGUCAGUCGUACCUGCGGANAAUCAGCCUUUCGAGUGCGAUUCUGUGGAGUGUAAGGAGUUUAACCGUCUUCAUACCUGCAUAUUCCUGCGCUUUGGGUGUACUUGUCCGUAUGGUAGGUUAACAUCAAUUUUGGUCGUUAUAAAAUGACUAGGGGAAUGUAGCUUUGAUCCCGUAUUGAAGUGUUAUAGCCUCUGGUAAAUGCAGUGACUAGGAUUGAGGAUUGCAACGGAUACCUUUCGGGGCUACUCGUCUGAUCUCUGGAAGUUACUUUGGUGCUAAAAGCUUGCUUAUGGUUAUCGAAGUUGACGGUCAAUAGGUUAGAACGAGUUAAAUUCGUUAAGGAUGUUGACGUA
rnacentral:rRNA from 1 species